rnacentral:rRNA from 1 species
GACGAACGCUGGCGGCGUGCUUAACACAUGCAAGUCGAACGGAAAGGCCCUGCUUGUGUGGGGUGCUCGAGUGGCGAACGGGUGAGUAACACGUGAGUAACCUGCCCUUGACUUUGGGAUAACUUCAGGAAACUGGGGCUAAUACCGGAUAGGAGCUCCUGCUGCAUGGUGGGGGUUGGAAAGUUUCGGCGGGUGGGGAUGGACUCGCGGCUCAUCAGCUUGUUGGUGGGGUAGUGGCUUACCAAGGCUUUGACGGGUAGCCGGCCUGAGAGGGUGACCGGCCACAUUGGGACUGAGAUACGGCCCAGACUCCUACGGGAGGCAGCAGUGGGGAAUAUUGCACAAUGGGCGGAAGCCUGAUGCAGCAACGCCGCGUGCGGGAUGACGGCCUUCGGGUUGUAAACCGCUUUCGCCUGUGACGAAGCGUGAGUGACGGUAAUGGGUAAAGAAGCACCGGCUAACUACGUG